AAGAGCAUAAACAAACAUUUGCCAUUUUCUCCAGGCCGGAGCUUCCCAAGUGAUCUUCACUAAUCCUUUGGAGAUUGUGAAGAUUCGCCUGCAGGUGGCAGGGGAGAUCACUACAGGACCUCGAGUCAGCGCACUAACCGUGAUCCGUGAUCUGGGCUUCCUUGGCCUUUAUAAGGGUGCUAAAGCAUGUUUCCUGAGAGACAUCCCUUUCUCAGCCAUUUAUUUUCCAGUGUAUGCCACACCAAGGCUCAGCUAGCUGACGAUCAAGGCAGACUGGGACCUUUGCAACUCCUCACUGCCGGCGCCAUUGCAGGUAUCCCUGCGGCCUCCCUUGUGACGCCUGCGGAUGUUGUCAAGACACGUCUGCAAGUAGCAGCCAGGGCAGGCCAGUCCACCUACUCAGGAGUCAUCAAUUGUUUCAGGAAGAUAUUGAAAGAGGAGGGUUUCCGCGCUUUGUGGAAGGGAGCAGGAGCUCGUAUGUGUCGGUCAUCUCCUCAGUUUGGUGUGACUGGUGACUUAUGAGCUCUUACAGAGAUGGUUCUACAUCGAUUUUGGAGGACAUCGUCCAGCUGGUUCCGAGCCAACACCCAAGACCCGCAUCUCAGAGCUUCCUCCGAUCAAUGUUGAGCACAUAGGAGGCUACCGUCUGGCAGCAGCUACCUUUGCUGGGGUGGAGAACAAGUUUGGGCUCCAUCUUCCAAAAUUCAAGUCAACUGGGGUAGUUUCAAUACACGACUCGGACCCACACCAUCCUAACAUCACCCUGAGCAAAUGUGGAACACACCCACCACCUCAGGCACCAUAGAAGUCUGAAUUGUCAUAUCAUACUGCUAUUCCCAUCCUCCUCUACUCGGGGCCAGACAUGCCAAUACAAAUAUGAAACACGCACAGGUAGAAAAUAUGAUACACUCCACAAAUAGGGACCAUUAACAUCAGAAAAGCACACCAGCAGGGUGGAGAUGUGCUGCACUGGCUCCCAGCCAUCUGUGGAGGUGGCGCGCUGGUUGCAACUGUCAAUGUAAAGCACCAGGCGUUGGCCACACCAGAGCGUUGCGUUGUCUGAGUCCCUGGUUUCUCUGUUCAUUGUUUUUCUUAAGUGUAUGUAGAAAAUGCACCUUUGAAUUUUGUCCAGUUUGCUGUUUGACUGGAGUGCAGGGGAUGUUUAGGUGGGUCAACGUGGUGCAUGGGGCUUUUCUCAUGUUUGUUCCUGACCCAAAGGCUACAUUGUGUAUAUAUUGUAUAAGUGUACUGAAACGUCACAGACACCACAACAUUCAAAAUGUCUGAAGUCAGUUCUACAGUCAUGGUCACUCUCGCAACAGUGUAAAGCACUUACUGAUGUACAGAACCUUUCAAACUGUUUUAUUGGUUAUCAAGAAUCAAGCAGAGAAUUAGUUAUUAAUAAAUUAAAUGUAUCUCAAUUCAGUCAUUGUAUUUUAUUGAAAUAAAUAAUCCAUAUGGUUUAAUUUUA